UCUUGCUUGUUCCCUUCUAGAGGUGGGGA
rnacentral:piRNA from 1 species